rnacentral:rRNA from 1 species
AGAGUUUGAUCCUGGCUCAGAACGAACGCUGGCGGCGUGCCUAACACAUGCAAGUCCAACGUGAAAGGGGAGCAAUCCCCCGGUAGGGUGGCAAACGGGUGAGUAAUACAUGGGUGAUCUACCUUAGGGAUGGGGAUAUCCUUCCGAAAGGAGGGGCAAUACCGAAUAUUGUCCGGGACCAUGAAGGGUUCCGGGGAAAGGGAGGCCUCUGAUACAAGCUUUCGCCUUAAGAUGAGCCCAUGGCCCAUCAGCUAGUUGGUAGGGUAAAGGCCUACCAAGGCUACGACGGGUCGCUGGUCUGAGAGGACGACCAGCCACACUGGCACUGAGAUACGGGCCAGACUCCUACGGGAGGCAGCAGUGAGGAAUAUUGCGCAAUGGGGGAAACCCUGACGCAGCAACGCCGCGUGUGGGAAGAAGGCCUUCGGGUCGUAAACCACUUUUACUCGGGACGAAAAAGGGAUGUCGAAUAAACAUCCCCGAUGACGGUACCGUGAGAAUAAGCCACGGCUAACUCUGUGCCAGCAGCCGCGGUAAGACAGAGGUGGCAAGCGUUGUUCGGAAUUACUGGGCGUAAAGAGUCUGUAGGUGGUUUGUCAAGUCUUUGGUGAAAGGCCGUAGCUUAACUAUGGGAAUGCCAAAGAGACUGGCAGGCUGGAGGCUGGGAGAGGGAAGCGGAAUUUCUGGUGUAGCGGUGAAAUGCGUAGAUAUCAGAAGGAAGGCCGGUGGCGAAGGCGGCUUCCUGGAACAGUCCUGACACUGAGAGACGAAAGCGUGGGGAGCAAAACAGGAUUAGAUACCCUG